rnacentral:rRNA from 1 species
GACGAACGCUGGCGGCGUGCUUAACACAUGCAAGUCGAACGGUGAAGGGAUCAGCUCGCUGGAUUUGGAUGAGUGGCGAACGGGUGAGUAACACGUGAGCAACCUGCCCCCUUCUUCUGGAUAACCGCAUGAAAGUGUGGCUAAUACGGGAUAUUCUGGGUCUGUCGCAUGUUGGGUCUGGGUUAGAUAUUGUUUCGGCGGGGGAUGGGGUCGCGGCCUAUCAGCUUGUUGGUGUGGUGAUGCCCUACCAAGGCGGUGACGGGUAGCCGGCCUGAGAGGGUGGACGGUGAGAGUGGAACGGCGACUCGGGCCAGAGACCUGCGGGAGGCAGCAGUGGGGAAUAGUAGACGGUGGGCGCGAGCCUGAUGCAGCGACGCCGCGUGAGGGAGGGGGGUCUUCGGGUUGUGAACCUCUUUCGCCAGUGAAGCAGGCCUGCGCCUUGUGGGUGGGUUGACGGUAGCUGGAUAAGAAGCGCCGGCUAACUACGUG